AAGCUGAGACUGACACCAGAUACAGUUAGGUCCUAAAGCUGAGACUACACACUGACACCAGAUACAGUUAGGUCCUAAAGCUGAGACUACACACUGACACCAGAUACAGUUAGGUCCUAAAGCUGAGACUGACACCAGAUACAGUUAGGUCCUAAAGCUGAGACUGACACCAGAUACAGUUAGGUCCUAAAGCUGAGACUGACACCAGAUACAGUUAGGUCCUAAAGCUGAGACUGACACCUGAUACAGUUAGGUCCUAAAGCUGAGACUACACACUGACACCAGAUACAGUUAGGUCCUAAAGCUGAGACUACACACUGACACCAGAUACAGUUAGGUCCUAAAGCUGAGACUGACACCAGAUACAGUUAGGUCCUAAAGCUGAGACUGACACCUGAUACAGUUAGGUCCUAAAGCUGAGACUACACACUGACACCAGAUACAGUUAGGUCCUAAAGCUGAGACUGACACCAGAUACAGUUAGGUCCUAAAGCUGAGACU